UACGUAGGGUGCAAGCGUUAUUCGGAAUCACUGGGCGUAAAGGGUGCGUAGACGGUUUGUUAAGUUUGUCGUUAAAGACUCCGGCCUAACUGGAGGGUUGCGAUGAAAACUGGCGAACUAGAGGGUGAGAGAGAGAAGUGGAAUUCCCGGAGUAGCGGUAAAAUGCGUGGAUCUCGGGAGGAACACCAAUGGCGAAGGCAGCUUCUUGGCUCAUUUCUGACGUUGAGGCACGAAAGCGUGGGUAGCGAACAGG
rnacentral:rRNA from 1 species